GCGCCAGCUAGACCCGCUUCGAAACCGGGUUGAAAAGCGGGAAACCUUCACCCGCCUGCUGGGGCACUAUUAAUUUUGAAGG
rnacentral:sRNA from 1 species